rnacentral:rRNA from 1 species
GACGAACGCUGGCGGCGUGCUUCAUACAUGCAAGUCGAACGAGAAGCUGACUUCGGUCAGUGGACAGUGGCGGACGGGUGAGUAAUAUGUAGGAAAUCUGCCUUUAGGAGGGGGACAACAGAGGGAAACUUCUGCUAAUACCCCAUAUGAGCGUAGCUGAAAUGCUAUUCUUGAAAACUCCGGUGCCUAAAGAUGAGCCUGCAUCUGAUUAGCUAGUUGGUAGUGUAAUGGACUACCAAGGCGACGAUCAGUAGCUGGUUUGAGAGGAUGAUCAGCCACAAUGGGACUGAGACACGGCCCAUACUCCUACGGGAGGCAGCAGUAGGGAAUUUUGCGCAAGGGGCGAAAGCCUGACGCAGCAACGCCGCGUGAACGAUUAAGCCCUUCGGGGUGUAAAGUUCUGUCAGUGGGGACGAAACUUGACGGUACCCACAGAGGAAGCACCGGCUAACUCCGUG